rnacentral:rRNA from 1 species
AUUGAACGCUGGCGGCAUGCUUUACACAUGCAAGUCGAACGGCAGCGCGGGCUUCGGCCUGGCGGCGAGUGGCGAACGGGUGAGUAAUGCAUCGGAACGUGCCCAGUAGUGGGGGAUAGCCCGGCGAAAGCCGGAUUAAUACCGCAUACGACCUUAGGGUGAAAGCGGGGGACCGAAAGGCCUCGCGCUAUUGGCUCUGCCUAUGUCGGAUUAGCUAGUUGGUGAGGUUAAGGCUUACCAAGGCGACGAUCCGUAGCUGAUCUGAGAGGCCGACCAGCCACACUGGAACUGAGACACGGCCCAGACUCCUACGGGAGGCAGCAGUAGGGAAUUUUGGACAAUGGGCGCAACCCUGAUCCAGCCAUGCCGCGUGCGGGAAGAAGGCCUUCGGGUUGUAAACCGCUUUUGUUCGGGAAGAAAUACUCUGGGCUAAUACCCCGGGGGGAUGACGGUACCGGAAGAAUAAGCACCGGCUAACUACGUG